GUAAGGAAUAUUGGACAAUGGACGCAAGUCUGAUCCAGCCAUGCCGCGUGAAGGAUUAAGGUCCUCUGGAUUGUAAACUUCUUUUAUAAGGGACGAAAAAAGGCUUUUCUAAGUCGUCUGACGGUACCUUAUGAAUAAGCACCGGCUAACUCCGUGCCAGCAGCCGCGGUAAUACGGAGGGUGCAAGCGUUAUCCGGAUUCACUGGGUUUAAAGGGUGCGUAGGCGGGCAGGUAAGUCAGUGGUGAAAUCCUAGAGCUUAACUCUAGAACUGCCAUUGAUACUAUCUGUCUUGAAUAUUGUGGAGGUAAGCGGAAUAUGUCAUGUAGCGGUGAAAUGCUUAGAUAUGACAUAGAACACCUAUUGCGAAGGCAGCUUACUAUUUCAUGAUUGACGCUGAGGCACGAAAGCGUGGGUAGCGAACAGGAUUAGAUACCCCUGUAGUCC
rnacentral:rRNA from 1 species